AUCACUAAAGAGCAUGGAUAUCUGCCAAUGGUAACACAAAAUAUAUUUAAAUAGCUUAAAAAAUGAUUAAUAUAAUUAAAUGAUAACACAAAAUCUACUUAUACGAUUUUCGUUAUCUGUUCAUACAUCAGGACCUGCCGCCGCGAAGUGCGAGCACAAAAACUAGUUUUGAAUAAGCGUGGACCAAGAUUGCAAAUAUGCAUAUCGUUCUAUAUUAUACUCCCAUAGACACAAGCAGUUUCUAAUUUCUUGAUUGUUUCUUUUCCUUUUAUUUUUCUUUCUUUCUUUUUCUUUUUUCACAAUGGAUAUCGUUAUUGGAGAUCGUCCGAAAAAAUCGCUAGACGAGCUCAUGGACAAAUUGCGCCGCAAACCUCCCGUCUACGAAUCUCUCCUCAUCCCGGGUUUCUUGAGGUGUAGUUACUAUAUAAAGCACUAAAGCUGUACAGUUUAGAGAAAUUAUUGUACAAAGCAACAAAGAUUGAAGACAAAUGAAAAUGGUCAUGAUGAGGGUUGAUGGUACAUGGUUGGUAAUAUGGUAUGGUAUGAGUUAUGUAGUGAUGAUGUACCCUCCUUUAAGGCUGCAAUUUAAAGGCUACAUCUACGGAUGAUGUACCCUCCUUUAAGGCUGGAAGUUAAAGGCUACAUCUAAUAUUUAGGCCGGAGCCUAAUCCACCAAAUAAGGUCCGGACAUAUUACCAGGAACAUCUCAAAACACUAUGAUAAGGCUAAGGAAUCGCCAAGGUGUUUUGUACUACGAAUGACGUAUGUCUAAAGGACUAAGCACAGACCUUUUGUCUACACUCGACAAUACGACGAAGUUUGUUAUGCUACAAGACACGCCGAAUAAAGGCCUCUGACUAAUAGACGUCAUGCUAAAGGGGACCAACUUCUGGACCCUUCCUUUGAGCCCUAUAAAUACCCCCAAUAAAUCUCUCUAAGAGACCAAUGAAAAACACACACAAACACCUCUCAAAUACACUUGGUGGCGUGAAGCAACUGUGAUACUUCACACCAAUUGGGAACCACCAACAAGUCUAAACAUUUCAUUAUCAUUUUUUACACCAAAUCAAUCCAUACUAAUUUAAGUGUAACUUUACCCUUAAACAUGUAGAUUAUGAAAGUGAAAAUAGUCAUGAUGGGAUUGAUUC